AUCGUAGUUAAUCCUGCACACUUAAAACAAAAACUUCGAUCGAGACAAUUAAUCCUAAGCAAUUAACCAAGUUGUCCGGCAUGUCAUUGGUCCCUCGACGCUUCGUCCGAUUCUUCGGCGCAUCGUCCUUUCCUGCAGCCUAUUGCCCAAUCGGCCAGUUGACUCUGCAACUCCGAUAUCCUUGGCACAAUACCCGCUCUUCUUGGCUCGAUGCCCGAGUCCACGGCCCGAAGCCUUCUGUCGAUACGUCGACCGAUCCACCGGCCCGACGUCCAAUCUUCUGACAUGUUCCUCCG
rnacentral:lncRNA from 1 species